rnacentral:lncRNA from 1 species
GAGUAAGGCCCCGUUUGAUAGUUGUUGACUGAGAAAGUGCUGAUUGGGAAAAGUCUGUCUGGGUAAGAAAUCCUAACUGAGUAAGAAAUCCUGUUGUUUGAUUGUACAUCUGACUGAAUGUGCUGAGUGAUGAAAAAUGACCAUUUUACCCUUCUAUUAGAUAUAGUGAUGUAUUAAGUUGCCGAAUAAUUAUAAAAACAUACAUAUUGUCAUACAAAAUGUAAAUUACACACAAAUAAAAAAUGUCAUACAAAAUGUAAAUUAAACAUAAAUCAUUUCAUAUCCAAAUAAAAACAUAAUGAAAUUUAAAACAACAUAAUAAUUUAAUGUAAAGUAGGUGAAAGUAGUCGAUUUGCAAUCUGAUCACGCAAAACACGCAUAUAUUCAACGGCUUUUGAACCCCAUUCUAUGCCUUAUAUGUUUUCUUUAUCAAUUCCCCCACCUUGGACGUCAGGAGUAACCAUAGUGUCCUCCUCAAAAUUUCUAAACAAUUCAUCUUCUAUAUUGUAUUUCCUUAUAAAAUUAUGGACCGCAACACAAGCAAUGACUAUGUCUCUUUGCACUGUAAAAAGGAUAAGGAGCCAUUUGUUUUAAGAUUGGGAAUCUCGCCUUCAAUACACCAUAUGCACGCUCAAUAACAUUUCUANAUAAGGAGCCAUUUGUUUUAAGAUUGGGAAUCUCGCCUUCAAUACACCAUAAGCACGCUCAAUAACAUUUCUAAGUUGUGCAUGAGCAUGAUUGAACCUUUCUUCUCUAGUUAAAGGUCUGCCUCUUCGAAAAUCGGCUAACCAAUACCUAGUAUUGCGGUAUGGAGCCAUAAACCCACGAGUGUUUGUAUAUGCGGCAUCACAAAGGUAAUAUUUAUCUGCAAACGAAUGUGACAUAUUAUAUAAUGAC